CAAAAACAAAGCUAUCGGGUAUUACUCAUAGUUCUUUCUGCUCAAUGAGAUUUAAAUAGCCGCAGUACUCUGACUGUGCAAAGGUAGCGAAAUCAGUUGUCUUCUAAUUAAAGUCUUGUAUCAACGAACACAUGGGGGCCUACUUUACCAGUAAUAUUAAAAUGAAGUUACUAAGGGGGUGCAAAUACCCUCAUAUCUUAAUAGACGAGAAGACCCUAGAAAUUUUUAACAUUCGUUUUUGUUGGGGCAACAUAGUAACAUUUAAACCUACUAUAUAAGCAAGAAAAUUAUAAGAUAGCAGAAAUUACUCUAGGGAUAACAGCAUAAUGUAUAAUCGUUUGUGACCUCGAUGUUGGAUUAGGAAGUUAUAGCUUAAAAGGUAUUUAACUAUGCUCUGUUCGAGCG
rnacentral:rRNA from 1 species